UACAGAGGGGGCAAGCGUUGUUCGGAAUUACUGGGCGUAAAGGGCGCGUAGGCGGCCUGUUAAGUCGGACGUGAAAUCCCUCGGCUCAACCGGGGAACUGCGUCCGAUACUGGCGGGCUUGAAUUCGGGAGAGGGGUGUGGAAUUCCAGGUGUAGCGGUGAAAUGCGUAGAUAUCUGGAGGAACACCGGUGGCGAAGGCGGCAUCCGUGGACCGACAUUGACGCUGAGGCGCGAAAGCCAGGGGAGCAACGGG
rnacentral:rRNA from 1 species